rfam:Sporisorium reilianum SRZ2 chromosome 7 complete DNA sequence
GUGGGAGAGGCUUAGUGGUUUGGCGUGAGAUUGCAAUGUCACUGUUCCAUGAGAAUGGCGCUCUGCGUAUAAAAAUCUUGAGGUCGUGGGUUCGAUUCCCACCUUCCACU